GCAAUGAAAGCAGUCUGUGUUGAGAGACUGAAAUGCAUUUCAAAGCCAGGCCUGAUUCGGGGUACAAGGAAGAACAGACCUAUGUGCAUUUUGUAGGAAGAAAACUGUGAAUGGAAAAAGGAGAAGGGGAGAGAAACGGGGGAAAUCUGGAUAAUACAUUAAAGUAACCAUAAUUUUGGAGAUGCAUUCAUCUUAUUGAAAAUAUGUACGUAACCAGUGAUACCGAAGUCGGAUAUUUGCUCAAUCAGGAUGCUCAACAAUUUGAGCCUUUAAAGUUUGGAGCUGCAUGGGUUUGUGGAGAAAGUCGGCUCGUGAUAUUUCCUCAUGGUUGUGAUUCCUCUUCACUCUUUUGAAUUUGGAAGGAUGGCAUACACAUCUGAAAAAUAGUAAGUAAUGUGUGAUUUAUUUUUCAAUUACUGUUACUAAUUGUAAUAAAGCUGAAAUUUGAUUACUGGAGGAGUUUGAAAUCAUCAUGCAUGCCUUGAAGGAAAAUGGGUUUUGUGAAACAUUUGCAUUAUUUGGUGUGAAUUACCUUUGGUGUGAUUUAACUGUUUAUCACACAAUUACUGUUGUGAUAAUGAAUGUGUUAUUCACUAUUGCUAAAUUUACCCAGUAUAUUCUGUAAUAACUAAGUAUUUGUGCCAUAUAAUAUAUGCAUUCUUAGUGCAACAGUUUAAGAAACAAUGCAAAAAUUGCAGGGAACUGUCUUUGGAGAUGCUAAGUUUUCUUGUUUUAUAUACCACACAAUCUUCCUCACACAUUUAUAGUUUUAAUUCAUAGUAAUAAUGUUUUCUAGAGACCUUUCUAUUUAUGCCUGAAAUGAAAUUCUCAUAUAAAUUAUGUGAGCUUAUUUCUUCAAAAUGAAUAUCCAGAGAGAGGCAAGAAUUAUUCUGACAUUAUUAAACUGCAUUUUUAAUGCAGUUUAAGUGACAUUUCUUAUAAUUUAAUCAAGCAUUAUAAUUAAAAUAACAAAGCUUUGAUUAGAGACUUUUUUUUUCAUUUGGGAAAGUGAAAAGUUCAUUUUUACCUUCCUAAAAAUAAGACAGACAUAUGCUAUCUGAAGACAUGAUACCUUGGAUUAGAGUACAUGCCACAAGUAUUUUUUAAAACAUAGAUGCAGCAUUGGCAUUUCUGAGUAACUACAGUGCAUAUUUUAAAUAUAUAAAUGCCUUAGAAUGAAGCAAUAUGGGGCAGAAUUAGUUCUGAAAUCUCUGAGGUAGCUUGAACAGUAUUUGCAUUAGGGCUGGCACUGCUAAAGCAAGCAGAUCCUGGGAAUUUCAUGUAGGCAAACAUGAGAUCCUUGUUUCUGGAGACAAGAAAAAAAAAG
rnacentral:lncRNA from 1 species